rnacentral:lncRNA from 1 species
CGAGACGGAGAAGGUACCGUUUAGUUUGGAUAUAAGCAAGAACUAGUUUUUACAGGAAUAGGUACAAGUGUGGGGAUAAGUAAAAUAACGUUUGGAUGAAAAUUAGGUUGUUUCCGGAGAUAAAAAAAAUAACGUUUGGAUAGAUAAUAUGGAAUAAGAAAAAUAGUAGGUUAUAUAUAAAAAAUGAAGGUGUUGGUGGGGAUAAUUAUACCAGCUUAUUUUAGGGAUCCGAGAACUACCAUUCUCGGAUAAAAAAUUUGCGUUUGGAUAUAAAGAGAGGGAUAAGUGAUUAUCCCUCCCCUUAAUCCCCAAUCC